CCUCGGGUGGCUGCAGUGGGGAAUAUUGGACAAUGGGCGAAAGCCUGAUCCAGCCAUGCCGCGUGUGUGAAGAAGGCCUUCGGGUUGUAAAGCACUUUCAGUGGGGAAGAAAGCCUUGGGGCUAAUACCCUCGAGGAAGGACAUCACCCACAGAAGAAGCACCGGCUAACUCCGUGCCAGCAGCCGCGGUAAUACGGAGGGUGCGAGCGUUAAUCGGAAUUACUGGGCGUAAAGCGCGCGUAGGCGGUCUGAUAAGCCGGUUGUGAAAGCCCCGGGCUCAACCUGGGAACGGCAUCCGGAACUGUCAGGCUAGAGUGCAGGAGAGGAAGGUAGAAUUCCCGGUGUAGCGGUGAAAUGCGUAGAGAUCGGGAGGAAUACCAGUGGCGAAGGCGGCCUUCUGGACUGACACUGACGCUGAGGUGCGAAAGCGUGGGUAGCAAACAGGAUUAGAUACCCGGGAGUC
rnacentral:rRNA from 1 species